ACAUGACGCAUGUCGUGUCGGGAAAGAUUCAUCGGUAUGGGAUGGGGUCGCGUCCUAUCAGCUUGAUGGCGGGGUAACGGCCCACCAUGGCUUCGACGGGUAGCCGGCCUGAGAGGGCGACCGGCCACAUUGGGACUGAGAUACGGCCCAGACUCCUACGGGAGGCAGCAGUGGGGAAUAUUGCACAAUGGGCGCAAGCCUGAUGCAGCGACGCCGCGUGCGGGAUGACGGCCUUCGGGUUGUAAACCGCUUUUGACUGGGAGCAAGCCCUUCGGGGUGAGUGUACCUUUCGAAUAAGCACCGGCUAACUACGUGCCAGCAGCCGCGGUAAUACGUAGGGUGCAAGCGUUAUCCGGAAUUAUUGGGCGUAAAGGGCUCGUAGGCGGUUCGUCGCGUCCGGUGU
rnacentral:rRNA from 1 species